CGGCUGGCAGGUGCCUCAUGAGGGCAGCCAUUUUAGAUUCAGGGCUGCCCAUAUAAACAGGGCAUUUUGCUGCAGGGAGGCCAGGCAACAACAUUGCCUGGCUGCAGGUAUUAUCUGGAGCGGCUCGAGCUGCAGGCAACAGCCUCAUCGACCUUCUCCCAGAACCGGCUGCCAGCUCUGCGGAGGAUCCCCACCCACGAGAACCUCAAGUUCACAACUGAAGGAGCCACGCUGUAGGCUGCAACUUAAGAGCAAAACUGGGGUCAGUCUGUAAGCAAUGUCAUGCCUCAGACCAUUCCUGAAAUGUACAGCUCAGCAGGUGGAUGCACGUAUGGGGCAUUUAUGACAAUAACAUUCACAAGGAUGGAAAAACUACAAUUGUGGACUUCAAGCACCAUAUGUUCUCCCUUCACACCUGCACAUGGAAAGAAGCAGGUCCUAUAGUUCCAGUUUACCGAUGGUCACUGCUCUAGAGCUGGGCAAAAGAAGAGAUUCAAGGUGAUAUUAACAUCAACAUGUAGAUUUUGGAUUGGCCUCCUCAGUCAUCUAUGGAUUUAUUGAUGAUUUUCAUAUUUACUGGAAGACUGGGAUUGCCAUGUUGAGGAACUGCCAGUGGCGAUGGCAUGCUUGAAAUUCCAUCUCUGUUAAAGCCUCUGGGACCUUGGCCAUUGAUUUUAAUAAAUUUAGGAGUUCACUGAUAGUCUUUAUUACAGAGUGUGAAUUAGGUAGCUCUGAGGCACAGAGGUACUACAGCUCUUCAGUGAAAAGGUUGUAAGAAUUGUUUCCCAUAUGGAAAAACAAGUGUCUUUUUCUCUAAUUUCAUUCUUGGAAAUGACUGAAUCAUUUUAGCUGAACCUUUCCAAAAUAAUUCAGUCUUAGGCAAUCAUCCAUCAUGGAACAUUUCAGCCCAUAUGUUUAAAGUUUGGCAAAUAAUAAGGAACUGAAAAUAAGUCUUACAAUAGGAAAUGCCAGGCAGUUUUAACUACAGGCAACCCCUACCUGCUCUACCUAUAAUAUUCCUGUACAUAAGUGAAUGUAAAUAGGCAUUUGUUCUUUAUAUCUGGUGUUCCCUGAAUCACAUGCUUGCAUGGAGGUGGAAACUAUUUCAAUUUUGAAGCUUUUGCAGUUCCUUAAUUGGUGAAACAGAUUUUGGUUCUCUCAGUUAGUUCAUUCUGGUCUCUGGAACAGCCAGCUCUUAGGAAUAUGAAUGUAAAUAUACAUGGUUGGAAUGACAGAAGAAAUAGACACUUUUGCUUGACAACAGCCCAAGACAAAUCUCUAGAUCCUGAUAUAUAAUCACCACACUAACUACUAGACCAAACUCCCUUUCCUCUCAAUGCCUAAAUUAAACAUAAUUGGUUCUUUCACAUGGAACCAGUGAGCAGAUACUGCCAUGAGAACCCUUUUUUUUUCUAGGAUACACUCUAGAGCCAAUACCAAUCCUUACUUAUAAUAAUAAAAGCUUCACUUUCUUAUAUGAAAGUUUAUUAACCUAUUAACUUUAUGGAGGAAAGAGUUAUAUCCAGUUUGUAUUUUGUUUAACUUUCCCCUUUAGAUGCAAGACCCAUUUGUUUAACUCUGUCUUAUUUAGUAAAGCAUCAUGUUUUCACACAACUCGCCGUUUCUUCUUCAGACUUAGUUGUUUGCCCCCUGUAAAAUACUUUUGUUUAAUCAUCACCUACUUGCAAACAGUAAUGAUGAUAUAGUUAUCUGUAUUAUGCCAAA